rnacentral:rRNA from 1 species
UGGCGGCAGGCUUAACACAUGCAAGUCGAACGAUAAGCUAGACUUCGGUUUAGUGGACAGUGGCAGACGGGUGAGUAACGCGUGGGAAUCUACCUUUGAGUGGGGAAUAACAAUUAGAAAUGAUUGCUAAUACCGCAUACACCCUCCGGGGGAAAGGCUUCGGCCGCUCUUAGAUGAGCCCGCGUACGAUUAGUUUGUUGGUGAGGUAAAGGCUCACCAAGACUACGAUCGUUAGCUGGUUUGAGAGGAUGAUCAGCCACACUGGGACUGAGACACGGCCCAGACUCCUACGGGAGGCAGCAGUGGGGAAUAUUGGACAAUGGGCGAAAGCCUGAUCCAGCCAUGCCGCGUGAGUGAAGAAGGCCUUAGGGUUGUAAAACUCUUUCGACAGGGAAGAUAAUGACGGUACCUGUAUAAGAAGCUCCGGCUAA